UACGAAGGGGGCUAGCGUUGCCGGAAUCACUGGGCGUAAAGGGCGCGUAGGCGGCCAUUUAAGUCGGGGGUGAAAGCCUGUGGCUCAACCACAGAAUUGCCUUCGAUACUGGAUGGCUUGAGACCGGAAGAGGUAAGUGGAACUGCGAGUGUAGAGGUGAAAUUCGUAGAUAUUCGCAAGAACACCAGUGGCGAAGGCGGCUUACUGGUCCGGAUCUGACGCUGAGGCGCGAAAGCGUGGGGAGCAAACAGG
rnacentral:rRNA from 1 species